AGGGUUUGAUUAUGGCUCAGGAUGAACGCUAGCUACAGGCUUAACACAUGCAAGUCGAGGGGCAUCAGGAAGAAAGCUUGCUUUCUUUGCUGGCGACCGGCGCACGGGUGAGUAACACGUAUCCAACCUGCCGAUGACUCGGGGAUAGCCUUUCGAAAGAAAGAUUAAUACCCGAUGGUAUAUCUGAAAGGCAUCUUUCAGCUAUUAAAGAAUUUCGGUCAUUGAUGGGGAUGCGUUCCAUUAGGUUGUUGGCGGGGUAACGGCCCACCAAGCCAUCGAUGGAUAGGGGUUCUGAGAGGAAGGUCCCCCACAUUGGAACUGAGACACGGUCCAA
rnacentral:rRNA from 1 species